rnacentral:lncRNA from 1 species
GUCUCGCCUACUUUUGCUGUUAAUCUCACACUCAACAAAAAUGAUGAAAAAAAUCAAUAAAAUUAUUCCUCUCGAUACUAUCUUUUGAUUGUCAGAAGCUUCUGUUCAAGUUUGGUAAAAAUCCAGGCUAGUUUAAGAAUCUUAAAAAUGUUUUAAAAACUUUAACUGCAGACUGUAUGUAAUGUUAACUGGAAGAAAAAC